AGUGAACGCUGGCGGUAGGCCUAACACAUGCAAGUCGAACGGCAGCACAGUAAGAGCUUGCUCUUACGGGUGGCGAGUGGCGGACGAGUGAGGAAUACAUCGGAAUCUACUUUUUCGUGGGGGAUAACGUAGGGAAACUUACGCUAAUACCGCAUACGACCUACGGGUGAAAGCAGGGGAUCUUCGGACCUUGCGCGAUUGAAUGAGCCGAUGUCGGAUUAGCUAGUUGGCGGGGUAAAGGCCCACCAAGGCGACGAUCCGUAGCUGGUCUGAGAGGAUGAUCAGCCACACUGGAUCUGAGACACGGUCCAUACUCCUACGGGAGGCAGCAGUCGGGAAUAUUGGACAAUGGGCGCAAGCCUGUUCCAGCCAUACCGCGUGGGUGAAGAAGGCCUUCGGGUUGUAAACCCCUUUUGUUGGGAAAGAAAAGCAGCAGGUUAAUACCCCGCUGUUCUGACGGUACCCAAAGAAUAAGCACCGGCUAACUUCGUG
rnacentral:rRNA from 1 species